rnacentral:tRNA from 1 species
UACCCCGAAAAUGUUGGACACAUCCAACCUCUGCUA